rnacentral:snoRNA from 1 species
CUCUAUGAUGAUCAAAAUCACAUUUUAUAACUUUCGUUCUACCGAUUUCAUCAAACGAUGAUGUGGAGAAAUUUGUUACUGAAG